rnacentral:rRNA from 1 species
UGGUCUUGACAUCCACGGAAGUUUUCAGAGAUGAGAAUGUGCCUUCGGGAACCGUGAGACAGGUGCUGCAUGGCUGUCGUCAGCUCGUGUUGUGAAAUGUUGGGUUAAGUCCCGCAACGAGCGCAACCCUUAUCCUUUGUUGCCAGCGGUCCGGCCAGGAACUCAAAGGAGACUGCCAGUGAUAAACUGGAGGAAGGUGGGGAUGACGUCAAGUCAUCAUGGCCCUUACGACCAGGGCUACACACGUGCUACAAUGGCGCAUACAAAGAGAAGCGACCUCGCGAGAGCAAGCGGACCUCAUAAAGUGCGUCGUAGUCCGGAUUGGAGUCUGCAACUCGACUCCAUGAAGUCGGAAUCGCUAGUAAUCGUGGAUCAGAAUGCCACGGUGAAUACGUUCCCGGGCC